CCUACGGGGGGCAGCAGUGGGGAAUAUUGCACAAUGGGGGAAACCCUGAUGCAGCGACGCCGCGUGAGUGAAGAAGCGUUUCCGCGCGUAAAGCCCCGUCAGCGGGGAAGCAACACGGUUCGCGAGAGCCGCGGACGGUACCCGACCAAGAAGCCCCGGCUAACUCCGUGCCAGCAGCCGCGGUAAUACGUAGGGGGCGUUAUCCGGAUGUAUUGGGUUUAAAGGGAGCGUAGGCCGGUCUUUAAGCGUGCCGUGAAAGUUUGUGGCUCAACCAUGGGAGUGCGGCGCGAACUGGAGACCUUGAGUGCGCGAGAGGCAGGCGGAAUUCGUGGUGUAGCGGUGAAAUGCGUAGAUAUCACGAAGAA
rnacentral:rRNA from 1 species